rnacentral:rRNA from 1 species
UACGGAGGAUCCGAGCGUUAUCCGGAUUUAUUGGGUUUAAAGGGUGCGCAGGCGGGAGAUUAAGUCGGCGGUGAAAUUUUGCAGCUCAACUGUAAAAGUGCCUUCGAAACUGGUUUCCUUGAGUGUAGAUGAAGUAGGCGGAAUUUGUGGUGUAGCGGUGAGAUGCAUAGAUAUCACGAGGAACUCCGAUUGCGAAGGCAGCUUACUAAGCUACUACUGACGCUCAGGCACGAAGGCGUGGGGAUCAAACAGGAUUAGAUACCCU